GACGAACGCUGGCGGCGUGCCUAACACAUGCAAGUCGAACGGAGUCGGCCCCGCAAGGGACUGACUUAGUGGCGAACGGGUGAGUAACGCGUGAGCAACCUGCCUUUCAGUGGGGGACAACAGUUGGAAACGACUGCUAAUACCGCAUAAUGCAUUUUGACCGCAUGAUCGAGAUGCCAAAGAUUUAUUGCUGAAAGAUGGGCUCGCGUCUGAUUAGAUAGUUGGUGGGGUAACGGCCCACCAAGUCGACGAUCAGUAGCCGGACUGAGAGGUUGAACGGCCACAUUGGGACUGAGAUACGGCCCAGACUCCUACGGGAGGCAGCAGUGGGGAAUAUUGGGCAAGGGGGGAAACCCUGACCCAGCAACGCCGCGUGAAGGAAGAAGGCUUUCGGGUUGUAAACUUCUUUUACCAGGGACGAAGAAAGUGACGGUACCUGGAGAAAAAGCCACGGCUAACUACGUGCCAGCCGCCGCCGUAA
rnacentral:rRNA from 1 species